CAGGGGCAAGUGCUCUGGGCGUCUGGUGCCUGUGUGCUCAGAUGUUUCCCAUUUUGAGCGUCUAUAAAAGAGCAAAAUGAGCUGAAGAGCCAACAUUUGUGCUACAAAAACAUGUCAUAUCAACAACAGCAACCUUUUCCCCAGAGAAAAUUAGGUUGUAUAUAUGUGUAUGUGUUUUUUCUGUUUUUUUCCUGGGGGCGGAAGUGUUGCAUUUUAAUGCCUGAUUUUGGCACUGGGUGCAGAAAAAUAGUUUUGAGAUGCCAAUGGCCAAAUUUUCCUCCAUCCCAUCUCAGCAAAACUCAAGUUUAUGUUUAAAUUUCUUGCAACCGAGUUACAUACACAGUGCAUGAGGGCGGCUGUUCAAAAUGUACACAUUUAUAGCUCCACUGUGUUUUAUCCCCUUUGCAAAAGAGAACUGAGACAUAAACACCACCCCCGGCUGACUGCACACAAGGAGAGUACCAGAGAGGCUGCGUCACUGGACCACCAUCAAACAGCCAGCUGAAAGCAGAAAGGUGCUUUGGAGUCUCUCCAGAACAAAGGCAACAGACCCUGAAGAAAGUCUGAAGGGAAUGGCAUGGGCUCAGGUCAACGAGGGACUGAGGAGGUCUUGCUUCACCCAUUUGGAGACCUGAAAUUCUUCUGGGGAGAGUCAGCCAUUGGGUUUUGAUGAAAUUUCCUGAAGGUGGUGGAGCUUGAGAUUCUUAGGAUGUGUAAAGGGUGAAAGGGCUCUGUGCCCAAAGAAGUUUGGGAAAUGCUGAUUGAAACAAACAGACUUUUCUAUCUUGCAGGACUUCUCAGAGCCUUUAAUGUGCUAAUGAUCCAAGAUGUGCUGUGGGGGCAUCAGUUGUAGCCUUUAGGAUUUCCCAGCCCCACAGACUAGGGAAAUAAGUUCACCAAGCCCUUAAUAGGGGUCUGUAGACACAAUUGGUAAAAUACUAGACUGUGACAGUGAUGUGUUUAGAAAAGUGUGUUUCCUUGGGGAGGAGUAAAAUAUUAUACCGAUAUUGGUUAAAUCCUCCAGAAUGCAAAGUGGUUUGCAAAAUUUAGCUUUAAAUCAUCUGGAAGGCUCAGAGGAAAUGGGACACAGCAGAGGUAAAUUUUGAUUAGAAGAGCAGAGGGAAGUGAAACCACCUUACAAC